CAACCUCAACUCAUAGGGGACUACCCCCUGAAUUUAAGAGCAUAUUAAUUAGGGGAGGAAAAGAAACUAACAAGGAUGUUCUUAGUAGCGGCGAGCGAAAAGAAAACAGUUCAGCACUAAGUCACUUUGUCUAUAUGGCAAAUGUGAGAUGCAGUGUAUGGAACAUCUAUAUGCUAGUAUGAGAAAUUAACGAUUUAAGUCCUUCUUAAAUGAGGCCAUUUACCCAUAGAGGGUGCCAGGGCCCGUAUAACGUUAGAUGAUUACUAGAUGAUGAUUUCCAAAGAGUCGUGGUGGCGUGAUAGUGCAGCACUAAGUGGGGUGGUAAAACUCCAUCGAAAACUAUAUAACCAUGAGACCGAUAGUAAACAAGUACCGUGAGGGAAAGUUGAAAAGAGACUCUGAAUAGAGAGUUAAUAGUACGUGAAACUGCUUAGAGGUUAGCCCGAUGAACCUGAAUAUCCAUUAUGGGAAAUUCAUCAUUAUAAUUAUAAUAUUUAAUAAAUAUUAUUAAUAAUAGUGUGCAUUUUCCCAUAUAAGGACAUUGUAAUCUAUUAGCAUAUACAAAAAUUUAUCAUAAAAUAUGGCUUAUAGUUUUAUUCAAAUUAUUAUGGCUUGCCCAUUGAUAACAUAGAAUAAAUGUCAUUAAAUUUGAUAAAGUGCUGAUAGAUUGAUAUGAAAUACAGUGUGUUAAUUUUUCGAAAUUAUAUAAUGAGAUUUAUAUCUAUGAUAUUUAUAUUUAUUAUAAGGCACUUGUAUGAUUAACAAUGCGAAGAUUCAGGAUACCUUCGGGACCCGUCUUGAAACACGGACCAAGGAGUCUAACAUAUAUGCAAGUCAUUGGGGAUUUAUUUUAUAAACCUAAUGGCGUAAUUAACUUGACUACCAAUACAAAUGGGAUUAGUUUUUAAAUUAUUUUAUAUAGUUUAUUAAUUCAAUCCCGGGGCGCUCUAUAUAGUUAUGUAUAAUAAUAUUUAUAUUAUUUAUACCUCUAACUGGAAACGUACCUUGAGCAUAUAUGCUGUGACCCGAAAGAUGGUGAACUAUACUUGAUCAGGUUGAAGUCAGGGGAAACCCUGAUGGAAGACCGAAACAGUUCUGACGUGCAAAUCGAUUGUCAGAAUUGAGUAUAGGGGCGAAAGACCAAUCGAACCAUCUAGUAGCUGGUUCCUUCCGAAGUUUCCCUCAGGAUAGCUGGUGCAUUUAUAUAUUGCAUAAAAUAAUCUUAUCUGGUAAAGCGAAUGAUUAGAGGCCUUAGGGUCGAAACGAUCUUAACCUAUUCUCAAACUUUAAAUGGGUAAGAACCUUAACUUUCUUGAAAUGAAGUUUAAGGUUAUGAUAUAAUGUGCCCAGUGGGCCACUUUUGGUAAGCAGAACUGGCGCUGUGGGAUGAACCAAACGUAAUGUUACGGUGCCCAAAUUAACAACUCAUGCAGAUACCAUGAAAGGGCGUUGGUUGCUUAAAACAGCAGGACGGUGGACAUGGAAGUCGUAAUCCGCUAAGGAGUGUGUAACAACUCACCUGCCGAAGCAACUAGCCCUUAAAAUGGAUGGCGCUUAAGUUGUAUACCUAUACAUUACCGCUAAAGUAAAUGAUUCAUAUUUAUAUAAAAAUAUAAAUUUUGAAACUUUAGUGAGUAGGAAGGUACAAUGGUGUGCGUAGAAGUGUUUGGCGUAAGCCUGCAUGGAGCCGCCAUUGGUACAGAUCUUGGUGGUAGUAGCAAAUAAUCGAAUGAGACCUUGGAGGACUGAAGUGGAGAAGGGUUUCGUGUGAACAGUGGUUGAUCACGAGUUAGUCGGUCCUAAGUUCAAGGCGAAAGCCGAAAAUUUUCAAGUAAAAAUAUAUAUAUAUAUACACAACAUACAUAUUAUUAUUGAUACACUUGAAUAAUUUUGAACGAAAGGGAAUACGGUUCCAAUUCCGUAACCUGUUGAGUAUCCGUUUGUUAUUAAAUAUGGGCCUUGUGCUCAUCCUGGCAACAGGAACGACCAUAAAGAAGCCGUCGAGAGAUAUCGGAAGAGUUUUCUUUUCUGUUUUAUAGCCGUACUACCAUGGAAGUCUUUCGCAGAGAGAUAUGGUAGAUGGGCUAGAAGAGCAUGACAUAUACUGUUGUGUCGAUAUUUUCUCCUCGGACCUUGAAAAUUUAUGGUGGGGACACGCAAACUUCUCAACAGGCCGUACCAAUAUCCGCAGCUGGUCUCCAAGGUGAAGAGUCUCUAGUCGAUGGAAUAAUGUAGGUAAGGGAAGUCGGCAAAUUAGAUCCGUAACUUCGGGAUAAGGAUUGGCUCUGAAGAUUGAGAUAAUCGGGCUUGAUUGGGAAACAAUAACAUGGUUUAUGUUCUCGUUCUGGGUAAAUAGAAUUUCGAUUAUUUUUAAUGAUCGUCAUUUGUUCCCCGGAUUGUUAGUUACGUAGCCAAUUGUGGAACUUUCUUGCUAAAAUUUUUAAGAAUACUAAUCUGGAGGGGUUAAACCUUUCAGUUUUAGCUCUUUUAAAUUAUAACGAUUAUCAAUUAACAAUCAAUUCAGAACUGGCACGGACUUGGGGAAUCCGACUGUCUAAUUAAAACAAAGCAUUGUGAUGGCCCUAGCGGGUGUUGACACAAUGUGAUUUCUGCCCAGUGCUCUGAAUGUCAACGUGAAGAAAUUCAAGUAAGCGCGGGUCAACGGCGGGAGUAACUAUGACUCUCUUAAGGUAGCCAAAUGCCUCGUCAUCUAAUUAGUGACGCGCAUGAAUGGAUUAACGAGAUUCCUACUGUCCCUAUCUACUAUCUAGCGAAACCACAGCCAAGGGAACGGGCUUGGAAUAAUUAGCGGGGAAAGAAGACCCUUUUGAGCUUGACUCUAAUCUGGCAGUGUAAGGAGACAUAAGAGGUGUAGAAUAAGUGGGAGAUAUUAGAUUUCGGUUUAGUAUCGCCAAUGAAAUACCACUACUCUUAUUGUUUCCUUACUUACUUGAUUAAAUGGAACGUGUAUCAUUUCCUAGCCAUUAUACGGAUAUAUUUUUAUAUAUCUUAUGGUAUUGGGUUUUGAUGCAAGCUUCUUGAUCAAAGUAUCAUGAGUUUGUUAUAUAAUUGCAAACAAAUUCUAAUAAUGAGAGGAUGCGCAUUUAUGUGUAUUUUCAAUUUAUGAAUUUGGUAUAACUCCAAUUACUCCGGUAUGAUCCAAUUCAAGGACAUUGCCAGGUAGGGAGUUUGACUGGGGCGGUACAUCUCUCAAAUAAUAACGGAGGUGUCCCAAGGCCAGCUCAGUGCGGACAGAAACCACACAUAGAGCAAAAGGGCAAAAGCUGACUUGAUCUCGGUGUCCAGUACACACAGGGACAGCAAAAGCUCGGCCUAUCGAUCCUUUUGGUUUAAAGAGUUUUUAACAAGAGGUGUCAGAAAAGUUACCAUAGGGAUAACUGGCUUGUGGCGGCCAAGCGUUCAUAGCGACGUCGCUUUUUGAUCCUUCGAUGUCGGCUCUUCCUAUCAUUGUGAAGCAAAAUUCACCAAGCGUUGGAUUGUUCACCCAUGCAAGGGAACGUGAGCUGGGUUUAGACCGUCGUGAGACAGGUUAGUUUUACCCUACUAAUGACAAAAACGUUGUUGCGACAGCAUUCCUGCGUAGUACGAGAGGAACCGCAGGUACGGACCUAUGGCACAAUACUUGUUCGAGCGAACAGUGGUAUGACGCUACGUCCGUUGGAUUAUGCCUGAACGCCUCUAAGGUCGUAUCCGUGCUGGACUGCAAUGAUAAAAAUGGGGCAAUUUGCAUUGUAUGGCUUCUAAAUCAUUAAAAGUUUAUAUGCAUUUAUAAACGACAAUGAAUAUGUGAUGCCAAUGUUAUGAGUAACAUAGUUAACUUUGGAGGAUCUUCGAUCACCUGGUGCCAAUGCUAGUUACUUAUUAAAACAUUAUUUAAUACAAUGACAAAGCCUAGAAUCAAUUGUAAACGACUUUUGUAACGGGCAAGGUGUUGUAAGUGGUUGAGCAGCUGCCAUACUGCGAUCCACUGAAGCUUAUCCUUUGCUUGAUGAUUCGA